GUUUGGCACAAGACCUCCCGAGCAGGACAUGUAACCCACAAAAUGUAGCCAGUUUCCAGGGCUGCUCACAGCUUUGCUUCUUGUGAGAUUUAACGAAGAUGAUGGUCUUAAAAUGGUUUUACCACAAGAAACUCUCCCACAAGGAAUAUACCUGUGGUCUUCCCCCUGAGGCCUCACACUGCCAUUCUGAGGAGUAUACACCUAAAUGAUAGAUCCAGAGGGUUUACCACAGAUCAUGGGGAAGACAAUACAGAUAUGCUGAGACAAGUUGUUUCUCAGCCAAUAAAUCGCUCCAGGGAUAGACUGAUGGAUUAUAAACAUGUCCUCACCUGAUGAAAGGUCUUGAGAUGGCCAGGACCGUCCGGAUGAACCAUGUUGGCAUCUCUUCAGCCAGCUGAUGCCGGGCAUCUUCCUGCGAGGAGUAGCUCCAUUCAGGUACUGCCUGAUGACCUGCAUGUCAAUCCGUUGCUCCUGGUCACCGAUGAUCACUGUUCGCCAGAGACGACCGGAUGAGUCUCUCUCUUCCUCACUUUCACCUGGAAGACGUUUAGCGGAGGCCACAGGAGUGUCAUCUAGGAACAAGCUCGUUGCCAUUGUUGAUGAACUCCAGCGAGUCGGUCUCAUCCGGAGUCUCGAUGUCAUCCACGUUGAUGUCCAGGUCGUCGG